rnacentral:rRNA from 1 species
GACGUUACCGGGGAUAUUGGGCGUAAAGCGCGCGCAGGUGGUUUCUUAAGUCUGAUGUGAAAGCCCACGGCUCAACCGUGGAGGGUCAUUGGAAACUGGGAGACUUGAGUGCAGAAGAGGAAAGUGGAAUUCCAUGUGUAGCGGUGAAAUGCGUAGAGAUAUGGAGGAACACCCAGUGGCGAAGGCGACUUUCUGGUCUGUAACUGACACUGAGGCGCGAAAGCGUGGGGAGCAAACAGGAUUAGAUACCCUGGUAGUCCCGCCGCAAACGAUGAGUGCUGGUGUUAUGAGGGUUCCGCCCUUACUCCUGAACUUUCCUUUCAAACAACUGACUUUACGACCGGACGGCCGUCUUACUCACAGGGAUUUGCCCGGCCGCACUUCCUUCCUUGCCGAAAGAUUCCUUACUGCUGCCCCCCAUAGGAUUCUGGGCGUCUCUUCAUCCCCGGGGAGGCCAAACGCCUUCUCAGUCCUGCUACGCAUCGACUCCUUGUGGGAGCCAUACCCUCACUAUCUCUCUUGAGCGCCGCGUCCCCAUCUAUAUGAGACUACGCAAACCGUCUUUCCUUCUUCCCGCGCGCCACAAGAUAACCUCUCCGGUACUAGCAUCUGUCCCGCGAAUGUCCCAGCUGAGGUGCAGUCACCCGCCUUUUCUCCCGGGACUCCGCUAUCUCUAGAGCUUCACCGACGAUCUCUCACGAGGUGCAUGAGCCCCCGCGGUGUCGCUGCGGGAUCCUUCCACCCACGCAUGGCACCCCCGUUACUGCACCGCUUUAACUUCUUCAGUUUUUUUUCGAUAUUUUUUCUUCUUCAUGUCUAACGUUGUGUUUUCUUGACUUAUGACAACUGUG